rnacentral:lncRNA from 1 species
GACCAUGUGAGGGUUCCGACAUGCUAGUCGUAUAGAUCACUAGAUGUGAUUCUGACUAGUGGGUGACCUUAGUUAUGCGCGCUGAUGAUUGAUGAGAGAAGCACUAGAGCGUAUUUAUACACCUUUCAUCGUACAGACUACUAUACGUAGUUCCGAGUGAUGUGCAGUGUAGUGCGGUACAGGUCACAGUUGGUGACUCCGGCAGGGCCGUAUAGGUCACUGUGGUGACUCCGACUGAGUGGGAUGUUGAGCUUUAGAAUCAGCCGUACAGGACCAUUGUAGGGUCUCCGGUUGAUUUAUUAUUUCACCUGAUUGAUAUUGAUGCAUUUCUGAUUAUAUUUGGCAUGGCGUGGCAUAUUAUUUCUGAGAUGUUAUGUUGAUGGAUAUGAGCUGAGUUUUGAUGAUAUGUGUAUAUAUAUGUUUAUAUACUAUUUUUCUGGGAAAGUAUACAGGUUUUACGGUGAGGGGUUAGAAAUGUUUUAAACGAAAUGUUUUGGAAAAUCUUUGAUUUUACUGACCCACUCAUCUUUGUUUUGCGCCCCUCUAGGUUCUAGUUAGCGGUUGGUGGUUCUCGUGGUCUUUUUCGGCAUUCUGACAGACGUUCUGCAUGUAGGACUCACCUGCGGGUGAUGUAUUUUAUUUUGGUCCUACUUGACUGCACUUAAACCUAUGCUCUGAAUUUUUGUGUUUACCUUAUAACUCAUCCUUUUAUUCUAGUAGGUGGUUCUACUAGAGAUUGGUUUGAAUUCCUUCAUAUUCUGUUAUAUCUUGCUUCCGUGUCGCACUUUUGGUUACGUCACGCUCACGUGACGGCCAGCACGCCUUGAUCCUCUGGGUCGGGGUGUGUCAGUUUGGUAUCAGAGCCUAGGUUGCAGUCCUGUAUAAUUGUUAAUGCUUUAAUGAUCUUUUGAUGUUUUCUGUCAGAAUUAUGCCGCAUCGUAGAGAGCGUAGGGAGUCCCGCCGUACUCCUGACCCUAAUUUCCCGGAUAUCGUUCAGUUGGGGGAAGCAAUGGCUCAGGCUUUUCAGAAUGUAAUUCGUCCUCCUCCCCCACCUCAGAUGACACCCCUGGAGACCAUGUACAAUUUGAAACUGGAUCGUUUUAUGGGUAAUGAAGGUCACGAGGGGGCAGAGAAAUGGCUAGAUCAUAUUGAAAAGACAUUUCAGGUGAUGCAAAGUCAGGGGAACUUUCCGGCUGAUAGGUGGGUUGAGACCACUACCUGGUUUUUGGGUCGAGAGCCGGCAGGUUGGUGGAGGAAUCAGACGCAGUUUAUGUCCCCAGCUAUGGCAUCUGAUUGAGAAGUAUUUAAAGAUAAUUUUAAGAAAAGAUUUGUUCCCCCAGAGUAUAUUGAUCGCAAGAAACAAGAAUUUACUCGAUUGAAACAGAAGAAUAUGACAGCUCAUGAGUACUACAGAAAGUUUACUGAUUUGUCUCGUUAUGACCCUGAUACAGCUGGUAAUUAGGGAGAGAUGCUUCGACGUUUCAAGUUGGGAUCUAAGAAAAAGUGGCGGACUUUUGCCAGUGCACUUCCCUGCGCCGAUUAUCAUGAGUUUUUCGAGAUUUUGGCUAGGAUGGAGGACUCUGAUAAUCUUCCCAGUGAGAGUGAGGAUGACGAGGACAAGAAUGAUGGUCAGAAGAAGGAUGAUAAAGGUAAGGGUAUCUCUAUUCCGAGACCUCGUAAGACGCAUAAUUUUAAGAAGAGUGGGGCGAGUUCGAGUUCUUCUAGUGAUGGAUAUAGUAUUACUGGCCCGAGGAGAGGUGGUGGUAGAUUUUCUGGUGGGCCCAGAUUUCAGAGGCAGAUGGAUUCUGGUGGUGCUGGUGGUUCUGGCGCUCCGUGGUGCCGCCGUUGUAAUUUUCGUCAUCAUGGUGAGUGUAAGAGAGGUAGUGGUGCUUGUUUUAAUUGUGGGCAAAUGGGACAUCGGGCUUCUCAGUGUCCCCAGGGUCAGCAGAGACCUCAGCAGACCACUAUGCCACCUCCAGCGCCGAUUCAACAGAGUUUUGGACCUGGUAGUUAUGGCCAAUCGAGUCGUGGUAGUGCCUACCACUACCAGGGGGAUGCUGCUCCGUGUGCUCCCGGACCUUAUCAGUAUCCCCAGGAGCCUUAUUCUCAGACAGGGUAUUCUCAGGACUUUGGGGGUUAUUCUUCUUAUUCAUCUAUGCCAGCUGGUGGAUCUCAGUGGGAGGUCAGCCCAGUCAGGGAGAAGUUGCUACUAGUGGUGCAGGAUUAUCUAGGCAGCCUAGUCAGUCAGGCCAGGGACGUGCUCCCCAAGGGCGAGGUAAUCAAGGCAGUAGAGGUCGUGGUGGACGACAGCAAGCUCAGGGGCGUGUUAAUCACAUCUCACUGCAAGAGGCUCAGAACCAUCCGGACUUAAUCAUGGGUACGUUAAAUGUUCUUGGUCAUUUUGCUAAGGUUUUGAUUGAUUGUGGUGCUACGCAUUCUGUGAUUUCUCAUACGUUUGCUCAAAUGACUCAACCUCACCCUUCACCUCUAGGAUUUGAUUUAGAGUUUGCCAUGCCUAGAGGAGAUAAAUGUUAUGUUGUUAGUGUGUAUCUUGGGUGUCCAGUGAUGGUAGAUGACAUAGUUAUGCCAGCUGAUCUUAUUCCGUUAGAUAUUGUGGAUUUUAAUGUGAUUCUAGGGGCUGAUUGGUUGCAUUAUAAUCGUGCCCAUAUUGAUUGUUAUGGUAAAUCAGUUACUUUUUAUCGUCCUGGACUACCCGAGGUUACUUUUGUGGGCGAAAGAAGUGGGGUGAGAUAUGGUGUUAUCUCUGCCAUAAGAGCAAGGAAAUUAUUAUCGAAGGGUUGUCAGGGAUAUUUAGCACAUGUGGUGUUAAAUGAUGUUGUUUCUCCUAGUAUAGAAGAAGUUGGUGUGGUCAGACAUUAUCCGGAUGUAUUUCCUGAUGAUUUGCCGGGGCUGCCGCCAGACAGAGAGGUGGAAUUCUCUAUUGAUUUGCUUCCAGGUACUGACCCUACAUCUCUAACUCCUUAUAAAAUGGCUCCUGCUGAGUUGAGAGAAUUGAAAAUUCAGUUGCAAGAAUUACUUGAUAAAGGUUUCAUUAAGCCUAGUUCGUCACCUUGGGGAGCUCCAGUAUUAUUUGUGAGGAAGAAAGAUGGAAUUCUGAGAUUAUGCAUUGACUAUAGGCAAUUGAACUGGGUAACGAUUAAAAACCGUUAUCCAUUGCCUCACAUCGACGAUUUGUUUGAUCAGCUGAAAGGUGUGUGUGUAUUUUCUAAGAUUGAUUUGAGAUCCGGUUAUUAUCAGUUGAAGAUUAAAGAGGAAGAUGUACCUAAGACAGCUUUCCGAACCCGUUACGGACAUUAUGAAUUUCUGGUUAUGCCAUUUGGGUUGACUAAUGCACCUGCAGCUUUCAUGAGGUUGAUGAAUGAGCUAUUCCAGCAAUAUCUUGAUAAAUUUGUUAUAGUUUUUAUUGAUGAUAUUCUGGUAUACUCUAAAUCUAAAGUAGAUCAUAUCCAACAUCUUAACUUGGUAUUAAAGAAAUUGAGGGAACAUCAGUUGUAUGCCAAGUUCAGUAAGUGUCAAUUUUGGUUGACUGAAGUGGCAUUUUUGGGGCAUGUUGUAUCGGCUCAAGGAAUCCAAGUUGAUCCUCAAAAGAUAGCAGCAGUGGAGAAUUGGGAACAACCUCGAACCGUCACUGAGGUACGAAGUUUUCUUGGUUUGGCAGGUUAUUACCGACGGUUUGUUCAGGAUUUUUCUAUGAUUGCUUUGCCGUUAACGAAGUUGACCAGGAAGGAUGUUAAAUUUGAGUGGGAUGAGAAUUGUGAGCGGAGUUUCCAGCAAUUGAAAUAUUGCCUCACUCAUGCUCCGAUAUUGGUACUUCCUGAUGAUAGCGGUAAUUUUGAGAUUUAUAGUGAUGCUUCCUUGAAUGGUUUGAGAUGUGUUUUGAUGCAGCAUAAUAGAGUGAUUGCUUAUGCUUCUUGACAGUUGAAAAAUCAUGAAAGGAAUUAUCCUACUCACGAUUUUGAAUUGGCAGCCAUUGUAUUUGCUUUGAAGAUUUGGAGGCAUUAUCUUUAUGGUGAGAAGUGUAAGAUCUUCACUGAUCACAAGAGUCUUCAGUAUCUAUUUACUCAGCAUGAUCUUAAUCUUCAUCAGUGAAGAUGGAUGGAAUUAUUAAGUGAUUAUGACUGCACUAUUGAGUAUCAUCCGGGUCAUGCUAAUGUGGUGGCUGACGCACUGAGUAGGAAACCUCAAGGUAGACUCAAUGCCUUAUAUGCUAGCCGUGUUCUUCUUCUUGCUGAACUGAGGGCAACUAGAGUAAAGUUGGAGUUGGAAGAUCGAAGUGGAGCCUUUCUUGCUAGUUUUCAAGUCAGGCCAGUUUUGGUUGAUCGUAUACUCGAAACUCAGAUGGUGGAUGAGGAAAUUCAAGAAAUGGUUCAGUUAAGAAGUGAAGGGAAAAAGAAAGACCUCAGGAUUCGGGAAUCAGAUGGUAUGCUUAUGCAGGAAAAUAGAAUGUAUAUUCCGAGUAAUGAGGAAUUAAAGAAGGAAAUUUUGGAUGAAGCGCAUUGUUCAGCUUAUGCGAUGCACCCAGGAGGAACUAAAAUGUACCAUACCAUUCGACCAUUUUAUUAUUGGCCGGGUAUGAAGAGGGAAAUUGCUGAGUAUGUGAGUAGAUGUAUUAUUUGCCAGCAAGUUAAAGCAGAAAGAAAAAAGCCUUUUGGGCGAAUGCAGCCACUUUCCGUUCCCCAGUGGAAAUGGGAAAAUAUAACCAUGGAUUUCGUGUAUAAACUCCCUCAUACACGAAACGGAUUUGAUGGUAUUUGGGUGAUUGUGGAUCGACUUACCAAGUCAGCGCAUUUCAUUCCAGUGAGGGAGAAGUAUCCUCUGAAUAAAUUGGCUAAGUUGUUCAUUACGAAGAUUGUGAAGUAUCAUGGAGUUCCAGUGAAUAUUAUUUCUGAUCAAGACCCAAGAUUUACUUCUAAAUUUUGGGUAGCUUUUCAGGAAGCUCUUGGUACGCAAUUGCUUUAUAGCACUGCUUAUCAUCCUCAAACUGAUGGGCAAUCAGAGAGGACUAUUCAGACGUUGGAGGAUAUGUUGAGAUCUUUAGUAUUACAAUUCGGUGAUUCCUGGCAUGAUCGCCUCGACUUGAUGGAGUUUGCCUACAAUAAUAGUUUUCACUCGAGCAUUGGUAUGUCACCAUUUGAGGCACUUUAUGGUAGGGCGUGUCGUACGCCAUUGUGUUGGUCUGAGGUUGGUGAAAGAGUGUUAGAAGGCCCAGAGAUUGUGGAUGAGACUACUCAAAAUAUUCAGGUGAUUAAGUCUAACCUGAAAGUAGCCCAGGAUCGACAGAAGAGUUUAGCAGAUCGACAUGCCACUGAUCGAGUGUAUAAUGUGGGCAAUUGGGUAUUUUUGAAAUUGUCACCUUGGAGAGGUGUGGUACGAUUUGGAAAAAGAGGAAAGCUAAGUCCGAGAUACAUUUGACCUUAUGUGAUCAUUGAAAGAGUUGGUGAAGUUGCCUACCGGUUGGAGUUGCCUCCGGAGUUAUCUAAGGUCCAUAAUGCACGUCUCUAUGCUUCGACAUUAUAUUUCUGAUCCUUCUCAUGUGAUCCCUCCUCAACCGCUAGAGAUUAAUUCGGAUUUGACAUAUGAUGAGGAACCAGUCACAAUCUUGGAUUGGAAAGAUAAGGUUCUAAGGAAUAAGACGGUGAGUUUGGUGAAGGUGUUGUGGAACCAUUCCAUAGAAAAAGCUACCUGGGAGACAGAAGAUCGUAUGAGAGAGAUGUACCCAAGAUUAUUCUAUGGGUAUUAAGUGGUUUAAUUGGUUAUGGGAAUUUCGGGGAUGAAAUUCUAUAAGGAGGGGAGAUUGUCACAGCCCGUCCCGGGAUUUUCUUAUUAAGGACGUGAAAUGACGGAUUUACUCUUAGCGGGUAUUAAGGUAUGUGUGUGUGUGACGCUAUUUGGAUUAACUUUAUAUAAGUUUUGGAAAAAAUAUAUUUAAGUUGGGAUGGAUUAAAAUUAAUGGUUUUGUAAAUUUGUGUGGUUAGGGUUUGAUGUUGGGUUUGUUUGGAGACCCCACACACACCCUCGGGACAUUUCCCUUUUCCUCCCCCUCUUUCCCGUGUCUCUCUCUCUCCUCCCUCACGACUCUCACUCUCUCUCUCUCACAUCGAUCGUACGGACCAACACCAAAACCCCCUGAAACUUCAUAGAUCGAGGAUUUUGAAGACACCAUCGUGCUCGUGAGGACUCUACGAACUCAACCACACCCAUUUCAGGUAAGAAAUCUUUCGAUUUCACGUUGAAACCAUAAGCACCGAUUUUGGCAUUGUUCAUGAACUUGGUGUUGGUUGAUUUUUAGGUCAAUCCAAGCUUAUAGUGAGCUUAGGGAGGUUCUAAGGAAGCUCUGGGACAUUCGUUUGGAAGUUUUGGACGUCAGAAUCACCACGUUCAAAGUUGGCCAGUUUUCGUGGGAUUUCUCCGGUAAGAUUUCGAAGUUUUUAGAGCCUUAAAGUAGUAUAGCGUGAAACUUCAUGUUUGGGGCUUCAUUUUGAUAUAAAAUACGGAGAAAACGGUUGAGAAACGAAUGAGAACAAGAAGUUUUAAAACUCGCCGGAAUCCGGCCACCGGAAAAACCAGUCCGGCGACUGGCUGGGGAAGAUGACGUGCGUGGGGGGCGCGUGUGUCCGCGUGUUCCCUGGCGCGUGGGGGCGCGUGUGACACCAAAAAAUUAAUCUAAAAAUUUCUCGACGUCCGUGACGUCAAAUAGGUCGAUGUGGUAUAUUCAUAUACCCAAAUUGAGCAUCGUAUGAGAAGUUAUUUCGAAUUGUUGGUUAUGUGUUUAAAUUAACAUUUUUAUAGUUGUUUCGUAUAUAGGUGACACCUAUCCCGAGGACGAGCGCAUCCAGGGACGUCACGGGGGUUACGACCCAUCGACUUAUCAGUGAGUGGGCAGUUUUGUUUUCGUAUUACCUAUAUACAACUGUUUUUCCCAGAAAAUGCGUUUAUAUAUGAAAAUUAUGAUUUAAAUUGCCAUGCAUGCAAAUGUUGAGAUAUUUAGUUUGAUAAUUGAUGCAUAUAUAUGUUAAUUGACGCGGUGGACGCACAUGUGAGUUUUUAUAUUAUUCAGAUGAGUUAUUUUAUGAGAAUUGCAUUGAAAGCUCAUAACCUGCACCCUAGGUGUUAGUGCUUAUAUUAUUAUUCACCACACCGCACGCUCGUCUUGGAUCCAAGUAGGUGGAUGUUGUACAAACCAUGUGAGGGUUCCGACAUGCUAGUCGUAUAGAUCACUAGAUGUGAUUCCGACUAGUGGGUGACCUUAGUUAUGCGCGCUGAUGAUUGAUGAGAGAAGCACUAGAGCGUAUUUAUACACCUUUCAUUGUACAGACUACUAUACGUAGUUCCGAGUGAUGUGCAGUGUAGUGCGGUACAGGUCACAGUUGGUGACUCCGGCAGGGCCGUAUAGGUC